UACGUAGGGUGCGAGCGUUGUCCGGAAUUACUGGGCGUAAAGAGCUCGUAGGUGGUUUGUCACGUCGUCUGUGAAAUUCCGGGGCUUAACCUCGGGCGUGCAGGCGAUACGGGCAAUACUUGAGUGCUGUAGGGGAGACUGGAAUUCCUGGUGUAGCGGUGAAAUGCGCAGAUAUCAGGAGGAACACCAAUGGCGAAGGCGGCUCUCUGGACUGUAACUGACGCUGAGGUACGAAAGCGUGGGGAGCAAACAGGAUUAGAUACCCCGGUAGU
rnacentral:rRNA from 1 species